rnacentral:rRNA from 1 species
AACGAACGCUGGCGGCAGGCUUAACACAUGCAAGUCGAACGCCCCGCAAGGGGAGUGGCAGACGGGUGAGUAACGCGUGGGAAUCUACCUAGUUCUACGGAACAACAGUUGGAAACGACUGCUAAUACCGUAUACGCCCUAUGGGGGAAAGAUUUAUCGGAAUUAGAUGAGCCCGCGUAAGAUUAGCUAGUUGGUGAGGUAAUGGCUCACCAAGGCGACGAUCUUUAGCUGGUCUGAGAGGAUGAUCAGCCACACUGGGACUGAGACACGGCCCAGACUCCUACGGGAGGCAGCAGUGGGGAAUAUUGGACAAUGGGCGCAAGCCUGAUCCAGCCAUGCCGCGUGAGUGAUGAAGGCCUUAGGGUUGUAAAGCUCUUUCAGUAGGGAAGAUAAUGACGGUACCUACAGAAGAAGCCCCGGCUAACUUCGUGCCAGCAGCCGCCGCAGUAA